rnacentral:rRNA from 1 species
GACGAACGCUGGCGGCGUGCUUAACACAUGCAAGUCGAACGGAAAGGCCCUGCUUUUGUGGGGUGCUCGAGUGGCGAACGGGUGAGUAACACGUGAGUAACCUGCCCUUGACUUUGGGAUAACUUCAGGAAACUGGGGCUAAUACCGGAUAGGAGCUCCUGCUGCAUGGUGGGGGUUGGAAAGUUUCGGCGGUUGGGGAUGGACUCGCGGCUUAUCAGCUUGUUGGUGGGGUAGUGGCUUACCAAGGCUUUGACGGGUCGCCGGCCUGAGAGGGUGACCGGCCACAUGAGGACUGAGAGACGGCCCAGACUCGUAUGGGCGGCAGCGGUGGGGAAUAUUGCACAGUAGCCGGAAGCCUGAUGCAGCGACGUCGCGUGCGGGAUGACCGCCUUCGAGUUAUAAACCGCUUUCGCCUGUGACGAAGCGUGAGUGGCGGUAAUGUGUAAAGAAGCACCGGCUAACUACGUG